rnacentral:rRNA from 1 species
UACGUAGGGACCGAGCGUUGUCCGGAUUCAUUGGGCGUAAAGAGCUCGUAGGCGGUUCGAUAAGUCGGGUGUGAAACCUCCAGGCUCAACCUGGAGACGCCACCCGAUACUGUCGUGACUAGAGUCCAGUAGGGGAGCGUGGAAUUCCUGGUGUAGCGGUGAAAUGCGCAGAUAUCAGGAGGAACACCAGCGGCGAAGGCGGCGCUCUGGGCUGGAACUGACGCUGAGGAGCGAAAGCGUGGGGAGCGAACAGG